GCUGGUUCUCGCCGCCUCCGGCGCAGCGAGGCCGGCCCCUUCUCUUCCCCUUCCUUCCCUUCCAUUUCUUCCCUAUAUCUAAAUCCCCAAAUCAUAAAAUCUAAUUCCUAGGGUUUCUACCUCCCUUCUCCCCCUCUGGAAUUCGUCUCUCCGCCGUCGUCUCCGUCGCACCACCGCCUCCACUGACUCAGAUUCAAGUCUAGAGACAAAAAAAUCAGGAAAUCUACAAUGAAGGAGGAUACUGAGCUCGCAACAGCCAUUGGGAGUUCAACCAUGCCAUCCCACAAUACUUUGGUGAUAAAGAAGAAGAUCGCAAUGAUAUAGAGGCAGAACAUACGCCUCACUUCACCUCAAGAUCUCUGCAGCAGUCUGUGCCCCGCCUCAGUGUGUCACUGCGAAGCCCAUCAUUUGUUUGUCGUCGUCUUGCUUCCUCCGGCCUCGGCUCAUCUGCCAGCGACUCUAUUUGUCGUCGUCUUGCUUCCUCCGGCCUCGGCCCAUCUGCCAGCGACUCUAUAGAAGCCAAUGACGUAUCUGCAGCCC